UACGUAGGUGGCAAGCGUUAUCCGGAUUUACUGGGUGUAAAGGGCGUGUAGGCGGGAAAGCAAGUCAGAUGUGAAAACCAUGGGCUCAACCUGUGGCCUGCAUUUGAAACUGUUUUUCUUGAGUACUGGAGAGGCAGACGGAAUUCCUAGUGUAGCGGUGAAAUGCGUAGAUAUUAGGAGGAACACCAGUGGCGAAGGCGGUCUGCUGGACAGCAACUGACGCUGAGGCGCGAAAGCGUGGGGAGCAAACA
rnacentral:rRNA from 1 species